AAUGAACGUUGGCGGCGUGGAUUAGGCAUGCAAGUCGAGCGAGAACCCCGCAAGGGGGGACAGCGGCGAAAGGGACAGUACUGUGUAGAUUAUCUGCCCUCAGGUCCGGGAUAGCUGCGGGAAACUGCAGGUAAUACCGGAUAACAUCUCCGGAUCAAAGGUGUGAUUCCGCCUGAGGAUGAGUCUGCAUCCUAUUAGCUAGUUGGUGGGGUAAUGGCCUACCAAGGCAUUGAUGGGUAGCAGGUGUGAGAGCACGACCUGCGUCAUUGGGACUGAGACACUGCCCAGACACCUACGGGGGGCUGCAGGCGAGAAUCUUCGGCAAUGGGCGCAAGCCUGACCGAGCGACGCCGCGUGUGGGAUGAAGGCCUUCGGGUUGUAAACCACUGUCAGAGGGGAUGAAAUGCAGGUGGGUUCUCCCAUCUGUUUGACAUAGCCUCAGAGGAAGGACGGGCUAAGUUCGUG
rnacentral:rRNA from 1 species